rnacentral:rRNA from 1 species
CUACGGGAGGCAGCAGUGGGGAAUUUUGGACAAUGGGGGCAACCCUGAUCCAGCCAUGCCGCGUGAGUGAAGAAGGCCUUCGGGUUGUAAAGCUCUUUCGGCCGGGACGAAAUCGCACUCAUUAACACCGGGUGUGGAUGACGGUACCGGAAGAAGAAGGACCGGCUAACUACGUGCCAGCAGCCGCGGUAAUACGUAGGGUCCGAGCGUUAAUCGGAAUUACUGGGCGUAAAGCGUGCGCAGGCGGUUUUGUAAGCCAGAUGUGAAAUCCCCGGGCUUAACCUGGGAACUGCAUUUGGGACUGCAAGGCUUGAGUACGGCAGAGGGGGGUAGAAUUCCUGGUGUAGCAGUGAAAUGCGUAGAUAUCAGGAGGAAUACCGAUGGCGAAGGCAGCCCCCUGGGUCGAUACUGACGCUCAUGCACGAAAGCGUGGGGAGCAAACAGGAUUAGAUACCCUGGUAGUCCACGCCCUAAACGAUGUCAACUAGUUGUUGGGGCCCUUACCGGCCUUAGUAACGCAGCUAACGCGUGAAGUUGACCGCCUGGGGAGUACGGUCGCAAGAUUAAAACUCAAAGGAAUUGACGG